rnacentral:lncRNA from 1 species
CAGCGGACUCUGUGGAAGCUCUUGCGGAUACGCUUCGUCGGGUCGGGUUAUAAGAAGAAUUGCAUUCUGAUUCGGGUCGACGAGAGGACCGUAAACGUCUUAAAUUCGCGUCGGGUUUAAGGUUUUUAUCACCGGAUCCUUGUCGGGUGGGUCGGGUAUCGAUGACGUCUUUAACGGACUUUCUGCAGCUGUAACUUGGCAACGAGAGUUUGCCGUUGUUGGAGUGAUGAUAGACGUCGUCGAAAGCUCUUGAUUUGCAAUGCAAAGAUUUAACCCACCCAAUCGGCAUAUUCGGGUAUUGGAUCCGAAUCCGGGUUUUCCAGUCUCUGUUUAGAAAUUAAAAGCUUAUGCUAUCUUUAGAGAUUAAUGGGGGCUUUGAAGUUUUUGUUGUGAAUAUAUGUGUUUGUGUAUAAAUGUAUGUACGUAUGGCAUAUUGUCCUUCCGUUCGUUUUAUCGGUUGGUGCUGUCGACAAAAAGACGAGAUUACCCCUUUGAUCUUGGGUCUUGACCCAUGCCAACGUGAAUUCUCAGCUUUUUGUCUUCUUAAUCAUUUUUGGUCUUUUAGUUGUCUUCUUAAUCAUGAUUUGAAAUAUCUUAUGAUAAAAAAUCUAAAAUUAAUAGUAAACAAUUUUUUUUAUCAAAUUUACUUAUGCUAAAACAUUUUAAAAAUAGUAAUUAUACAAUCAUGAUACUGUGUAUAUAUUUUAUAUACAUAUGUAUAUAUAACUGAUCAGAUCGACUCAAAUAUUCAAUAUUCGGAUAGUAUCUAAAUGGAUAAUAGAUCGAAUCAAAUUUCACGGAUAUUUCGUUUGCCUCUAUUCAACACAUAAUUCAUAUCAUAUCCAUUACGUAUAUUAUUGUAGCUAUUUUCCUUUUCGAUUGAUUAGCAAUUCAGCAAAAUUUAUGUAUUCUUUGUCAUUCUUCAUACUUUGUAUCUGUGUUUUAAUUACAAAAAUAAGUUUAAAAAAGCUGUUGCCGAAGGAAACUACAACGAGACAAGUGUAAUAAUUAAAGCAGUUGGUGAAGAUAAAAAACUCAUUUAAUGGAGAAUAUGGUUAUGGCCUAUGGGAAUGUGUUUGGUUUCUUUUUAACAUGUUGAGAGUUGAAAUGAGUAAAGUCUAUUAUCAGGUAGAGAAACUAUUAAUAUACUUCCUCUUUUUGAUAUUAGUUAUCGUUCUAGAAUUAAAAUUUUAUUUUAUUUUAAUUGUCGUUUUAUGUUUUCAAUGCAAAAAUUAUUAAUAAUAUUUUCCAUUUUAUUUUUCUACUUAUUGAAAUAUGUUUAAAUAUAUAGGUAAUGAUGUUUUUAUUUUUGAAAUACGCAAAAUUAAAUAUUUUUUUAAUAUGUGUGCAUAAAUCUAAAACGACAACUAGAUUAAAACGGAACGAGUAAUUUGCAAUAAUAAUAAUGAUGGCCGUGCUCAUAAAUAAAAUAGGAAGUUCAAUUUCGUUUGAUUUAGAAUAGGUUAGAAUAUUUAGAACUGAAUAUACAAAGGAUUGGUACACUAAUUCUUUCUAUCUAAUAUAUCUACAAUAAAAGUGAUAUGCACUCCAUCUUUUUUGUUGUCAAGAAAUGCAUUUCAUUAAAAACCAGAUUAAUUUGUGGCAGGUACAACAGAACCAAGGAUUUUGGCUAAACCAUCUUCCAAAACAAAGUUAUUACGAUGGUGAAACCUAAAACACACAAACUCAAACGAGCUUGCCAUAAAGAUAAUAUCGGAGACUAUUCCGUGGAGAUCAGAGAAGCUUGAUAUGCACUCAAUCUUUAAGUUAAUUUCAUGUAUCAACUUUAAGUUUGUUUCACCAACAAAUCGUAUUGUUUCUUGUGUCGCUGUGGGUCUAGUGUGAACCAAGCACGGAAUCUUUCCAUUGAGCUUCGUUUAUUGUUUUGGAACUUUUUUAAUUUUUUUGACUACUGACAUUGCUCAACGUCUUUUUUUUUGUAAUUAGACAUUGCUCAACUUUCUAAUUUUGUUUCUUUUUAAAAUUUUAUUAUAAUGCCAACAAAAAUAAUAUUAUAAUGUUAACUUAAUGUUUGUAACUUUUUAAAUAUUAAAAUAUUUGUUGUCAAUAAAUAAAAAUAAAAUUUUCACAAACAAUUUUGUUAACCAAAGUAAUGAUAUAACCGAAAUAGAAUUAAUUGAAAUAAGUUUCCGCUCAUAGACGUGGUCGGAUGGUACGUCGGGUUAGAAAUCUGCCAUUCAGAUAAAUUGCGUGUACAUGUGAGAGAAUAUAAGAUAUUUGACAUGGUUUGUUUCUUGGUUUUUGGGAUUAGUUAAGUCUUUUUGGAAGUUUGGAUGAUCCUCUGUUUCAUAUUAAGCGUUAUUUUAACUCAUUUUUUUUGUUUCACUAAGAGUCUCAUUCCACAAUAUCAAUGCAAUUUAUACAAUCUUUUACCUGAAAAUUAAUUGUAAAAUGCAUUGAUUUUAUAAAUAAAUCGAUUUAUCUAAAAUACUAAUGAUUAGAUAUGUGAUAUUAAUGAAAACAUAAAUACGUUUUAAUGAAUUCCUUAAUAUGUGUGAAAAAUGUUUAAGUGACACUCUUUGUGAAAGGAUGGAGCAGUAUGUUUCUUGAAUGAAUAAAAUGUCAGGGAAAUUUGAAUUCUCCAAAUGCAAUAUGGUCAAACUCGGGUUAAGUCUUAAAAACCUUCUUAAUUACACAUUCGAUAUGGACUCCGCUGUUCCUCUAGACUCUAGUAUACUCAUAAAUUACGAAAUCGCUUUAUACACAUGAAGUUGGCACGUCGGAUUCAGCAAAACGAACUAGAAUUUAUAUCUUUUUAAUUAACUGAUUCCAUACGAUUUGUUGGUGAAACAAACAUAUCAAUUUAUAAACAUAGAAGUAUAUAUCAAUAUGAAAAAGGGUGCGACAGGUAAUGUGUCACUUUUAAAAAUUGUUUAUGCACAAUAAGACAAAAAAAUGUCGCAUUUCAAGUUGCACAACAUGAAGCGACAACUUUAAGAUUUGUACACUACAGCACAGCAAUGUAUUUUAUUAAUGUUUAACUAAACUGUGACCCGUAUGUCCGUACGUAUAAUUUUUCAUUUUAUAACUUUUGAACUUGAAAAAUUAUAUGACUUAUUUAUUUUUUUUGUUACUAAACUAAUGUAUUAUUUUAUAUAAAAAGUUAGAAUUUUUAUGAGAUUCUUUAUAACUUUUUCAACAUAUUUUGUCAUAAUUAAAAAUAAACGUUUAAUUUAUAGUUAAAAUUUUUUUUUUCCAAUAUCUUAAAUGAACUAAAAUUUUAAAGAUUUCAAAUAGCAUAUUUUAUAAAUAGUACUUAAAGUAAAUGUUAGCUAUAUUCUAUUAUAUUUUCUAUAUAAUCAUUUUUAGAUAAUAUAUUAUUGUACUUUUAAAAUAAAUAAAUAAAUAUAUAAUAUAUAGUUGUAGAUAUAAAAGUUUAACAUAUAUGGGAAAUUCUCACAGAUACCACAUUCAUAGUAUAAUUCGAAACCAUAAAAAUAAUUUUUUUUUAUUUAACUAAUGAUUUAUUAUAUAUACAGAGAACAAUGGUAUAAGAGUCUUUUGUCACUUAAUGAAGAAUGUAUUUUGAAAAUGUCCCUUUAGUGGUGGUAAAAAUGAUAAGUAGUACCAUGAAAGUGGUAAAUAUGAAAUUUCCCCAACAUAUAUUAACAAUUUUAUUUUUUGUAUAAAAAUAUUACAUAAUUUACAAAUUUUAAUCCUUUUAAAUGGUGAAUGAUAUUUUAAUUUGUUUAAAUGGUGAAUACUAUUCUAAUCCUUUUAAAUGGUGAAUACUAUUUUAUUUACUUAUUUAAACGAAAGUAUUUUCAAAAAUAUGAUAAUUUACCAAUUUAAUAUAAUUUUCAUAUUUAAUUCAUAUAUUACUUCUAUUUUCAUAUAAUAUAGACAAUAAUUAUAAAAUUUAUAAAAGUAUCAUAUAAUUUUUUUUUGUAAUAUAAUUUUAUUUUAAAUUAAUUUAUAAUAAUACUAUAUUACUAAUUACAAAAUUAUUCAAUUUGUUAAUAUUAAAAAUAUUUAAAAGUUAUAGUAAGGUUUUGUUAGAUUUUCUCAACAGAUUUAUAAUUUAAUAUUUUUUAUAAUUAUUAAAAAAUUAGAAAUGUUAUAUAUUCAAUAGAUUAAUGUUUAUAAUUAAAUACAUGUAAUUAAUGAAAUUGACUUAUUAUGAUUGUUAUGGGAAAUUACCAAAAAUACCACAUUUAUAGUACUACUUUUCACGUUUACACAAACCACUUUUACUUUCAAUUUUAAUGAAGGGUAAAGACAUUUAUAACCCUAUGAUUAACUAAUCUAGACUUAAGGGUAUAAUUAGUUCAACGAACUAUAGACCACUUAUUAGUGAUUGGUUUAUAGACUGUAUGAAGCUCAUAUUCCACUGAUAUUAAACGAAGAAAGACAAAAUAUAAAAUAGUCACGAUACUAAUACUAAUACUUAUUAAACGAAGAAACAAAAAUCAAAACAGUAAGUAAGAUUACGAUGAUAUAAACAUGACAAUAUUACAUAGAUGUUUUAUAGCUGAUAAUUCUAUUUUCUUUAUGACUAUCGCACCUCUGAUUAUAAUAUCAAUAUUUCUACAGGAUAAUAUAUUAUACAAAAUAUGGAUAUCUAAAAGUAAAAACAAUUUAAUAUGCAUCCACUCCAACAUCACUUAUAAAGAAUACUUUUAGCAAUUAAAUUUUUUAUAUGCAUCAGUGAUAAUUGUUCAAUUUCCCAAAUCAUAGAAAUCCCGCCAAACUGUCUGAACCUUAAACGUGAGAUUGUAGCUUGGACCAUAAAAAGAUGAAAUCAGAAGAAUUGCGUCAAAUUUGGAUAUUAAUCAGAAAUAAGGACGAAAUAUAAAAUAUAUACUUAUUUCUCAAAGUUCGAUAAUUAUUCCUUUUUUUACAAUCUGAAAAAGAUUAGAAAACAAGGCAACACAGCGCGUGCAUCGAAAACAAUCAAUUCACCAUCUCGACCCGCAACUGAAUCCGACCCGAACUCGCCUUUCUUCGCAACCCGACCCGCUAUUACUCGACAAAUCAGCAUCGCUCUCCUCCCUCCUCCGCCACCUGUGCUAUCAUGCGCUUCACCGCUACCUGAAAACGUACAAACCGCCGCUCCUUUACCUCCUGGAAACACCCACGCGCCGCCGUUAAUCCCUCCCGGAAUCGGACCUAACGGAUAAAACCUCAUCAUCUCAUUCCCAUCCGCCGAACACCUCGCGUCUUCAUCGCACGCGCCGUCAUCUGAAUCCAAGUUGGAGCGCGAUCGCACUUUCACAGCCUCUCUGUACUCCUCAAACCGGGUCACAGCCCUCGACCCGUUUUCGACUUUAAAAAUCAUCUCAACCCGACCCGGAAAUUCUUCGGAGCUCCAGCUAGAUUGGAAUAUAAUCUCCACGACGUUUCUCGACGGAUGACCAUCGGGAAGAUCGGUCAGAACGGGCAAUGCGGCGGACUCCGUGGAAGCUCUUGCGGAUACGCUUCGUCGGGUCGGGUUGUAAGAAGAAUUGCAUUCUGAUUCGGGUCGACGAGAGGACCGUAAACGUCUUAAAUUCGCGUCGGGUUUAAGGUUUUUAUCACCGGAUCCUUGUCGGGUGGGUCGGGUAUCGAUGACGUCUUUAACGGACUUUCUGCAGCUGUAACUUGGCAACGAGAGUUUGCCGUUGUUGGAGUGAUGAUAGACGUCGUCGAAAGCUCUUGAUUUGCAAUGC